rnacentral:tRNA from 1 species
GGUGGCUCAGUGGUAGAGUGCUUGCCUUGCAUGCAUGAGGCCCUGGAUUCGAUCCUUCAGCACCA